UGGGGAAUAUUGCACAAUGGGGGAAACCCUGAUGCAGCGACGCCGCGUGAGCGGAGAAGUAUUUCGGUAUGUAAAGCUCUAUCAGCAGGGAAGAAGAAAUGACGGUACCUGACUAAGAAGCACCGGCUAAAUACGUGCCAGCAGCCGCGGUAAUACGUAUGGUGCAAGCGUUAUCCGGAUUUACUGGGUGUAAAGGGAGCGCAGGCGGAAGGCUAAGUCUGAUGUGAAAGCCCGGGGCUCAACCCCGGUACUGCAUUGGAAACUGGUCAUCUAGAGUGUCGGAGGGGUAAGUGGAAUUCCUAGUGUAGCGGUGAAAUGCGUAGAUAUUAGGAGGAACACCAGUGGCGAAGGCGGCUUACUGGACGAUAACUGACGCUGAGGCUCGAAAGCGUGGGGAGCAAACAGG
rnacentral:rRNA from 1 species